AGGGACUGGAGCCUGUCCCGGCUGUUAUAGGGCAAGAGGCAGGGUACACCUUAGACGUGGUAAAAAGUGAUUUUGCCACAUGUGUUUUUGUUUUAUGUGACAUUAAAAGAAAUAAAAUUUGGCAUAUUUUAAGGACCGAAAGCCCCCACCCCGGGUUAAUAUUUCUAUUUGUUGUAAUAAAGUUUGUAAUUAAUAAAUGUAGUCAUUUCAAACCAAAAUCCGUUUGGAAAAAGUCAGCUUUGUUUGCUUUUCUCUGUUAAUUAUUCUUUAUCUGUAUGUACACUGAUUAAAGUUUGGGUAAAAACAUUGUACAACCUUUAUAGAAUGGGUGGAGCCAGAACUUCGACCCUAAUUUGAUUAUCACGAGUUUAAGUGGGCGUGUUUCCUAAAUCAGCAGUAGUCGUUAAUCAGCUGACGGGUGAACAGGUUGUGUGAAGGUAAAUUUGAGAAUCUGCCGAGCUGGUCUGUGGCGUACUGGAGACAGUGGUUUAUUUUACAGAAACACAGAGAGAUCCUUGAGAUAACUUGUUGAAGCAGACAUGGAGAGCGACUCUGAAACACACAGUGAUGAUGAUACUACUCCAGAUGACUGGAUGGCUAUGGUUGUAGACAGUCCAGAUGGAAGUCCUGCUGCCAGUCCUGCUGCUACACAGAAACCCUCAGAAGAAGAGGAUUUUAAACUGUCCCUGAUCACCUGGA